rnacentral:lncRNA from 1 species
UAUAAAAAAUAGGACGGCUUUGCUCUAUGCGAACUAGCAACGUUUAAUUAACUUAUCGCAAUUUAGGAUCUCCUGUUAGACAAAUACCUUCGAGAACAUUCUAGUCUAUUACGUAACCGCUACUAUAACUAACGAAUUCGCGCCAUUUAGCAACACAAUAACAGAAGCUCCUCUCCUCCUGCGCUGCCAAACCUCGCUGCUGCUUUUCUGCCUUUCUGUGUUGAAAGUAUGACGCAUUAAAUUAAAAGUAAUCUGAUUUAGUGAUGAAUAUUGAUCUGUUUCUUGAAUUGAAAUAAAGCAUGGAGCUAUAAACUUAAAUCCUAUUGUGUCAUUAUGUGAUGUCGCCUUACCACUCUGCAAAAGCAAUGUCAAGCUUCAUCACGACUAUUGGAAAAUAUCACAUAUACACAGCAAAAAUUGAGGAAGAGGUUUUAAUUUAGUUUAUUAUUACAGAGCACGUAAGAAAUCUAAAUAUCUGCCUUAAGGAAGAAAAUAUUUCAGUUAAAUAUUGAGAAAUGGGCGUUUGGUAUCUCUUGCGCUCUGACCGGUGUCAUUACAGGUAGCUUGUUCUUAUCAAUUAGUUAUGUUUUUGAAUUAAUAUUGUAUAGCUUUCGUUUAACUAAAGAUUUCUUGUUUUAAAUUUUGCUAUUGUUUACUGCUCUUUUUCAUGUCUCUUUUCACACUUCCUAUUCUUUCCUGUUCUGGGAGAUUCAUUUGCCAGUCAUCAAAGUCAUCGUGUCCUAGUGACAUUAUUUUGUGAAGUUGGAAAAACAUCAUGACUAAUGAUAACUCUUGCUAUUUGUAUUCUUUCGAUACUUUUCCAAAUUAUAAAGACCAAAUGCACAUUUAAGGUGUCGAGAUAUAAAAGCAAGGGUAGAUAACAGUUAACUCCUUUCCCUGACUGUAUUUUCUGCCGCAUGUUCUGUCCCUGUGAGAAAAAAACUUUGAGAAAGUUAAGUAGGUUAGCCGACCAGUUUAUGACACCAGGUCCGUAAGCGAUAAUGACGUCAUUUACGCUUUUGCGGCUAGGAAGUUAGAAUUUGUCUAGUCAUCGAUGUCUGCGUUAAAGUUUGGAAAGCGAUUGGUUUUGAAGCCAGUAGAUCUCUUUUUCAGAUCUUCCAGCCAGGACUGGAGUCUGUCCAAAAAUCUUCUCCCGGACUAUUUUUACACCACAUGGCGGCGCUAGUUUACGAAGAGAGGGUGGUUGUCCGUGCUAGCUGGCUUUAUUGAUUUGUCUGAAACGUCCUUUGCUUAGAAUAUUCUUCCGAUACUAGAUAGAAUGGCUGCUAUGGAUGAGUACAGCAAGCAGUACUCAUAGUAUGGAACCCGAAACGGAGAAGCUUUUGAUCGAAAUCUUUAUAAGAACUCCAUUUCAUGUUUAUUAGAAUCUCUUAAUUAAUUCGUUAAUAGCAAGCAUAAUUUUUUUCACUUCCUAAUUAUUUAUUUGGAAAUUAAAGCUAGACAAUGCCCAUAUUCCAGCGACUCCGAGGAUCGCAGGUGAACACGCUUCCUCUCAUAGCACGUCAUCUUCCCAAAAUCCUUUGCGCUCAAGGCCGUCUAGUGAGCAAAUGGCUGAUACAAGGAAACUCCGUGAUUUGGAAAGAAAGCGCUGCGGUGAGCGGAGGCAGUUUUAGUUCCAGGAUGGGUUUAAGUAACCAGAAGAUGUAUUGCGACCGUAGAGAUUCAACUAAACGGAAUAAAUCCACGAUGACUGGAAUGUACCUCAUUAACAAUCCUAAGCAAUU